rnacentral:rRNA from 1 species
AAUGUCGGAUAUUACGAAUAAUAAUUUAAAAAAAGAUUUUGGCGGUGUCUUAUAAAACCAGGGGAACUUGUCUCAUAACUCGAUAGUCCACGUUUACCUAACCUUUUUUUGAAAAUUCAGCAUGUGUACUGCCGUUGUAAGCACACCCCUAAAAGAAUAAAGUAUGCUUUUAUGAACCACAAUAACUCAUAUACAUCAGGUCAAAGUGCAGUUAAUAUGAAGGAGACGAUGAGUUACAACCUAAAAAGAGAAAUGAAUAAAAAUUAAAAAAUUUUUAUAAAAGUGGACUUGAAUGUAAUUAAAAAAUAUUAUAAAUUAAUGAAUAAUUAAUCUAAGACAUGCACACAUCGCCCG